rnacentral:rRNA from 1 species
UUAAGCGACUAAGCGUACACGGUGGAUGCCCUGGCAGUCAGAGGCGAUGAAGGACGUGCUAAUCUGCGAUAAGCGUCGGUAAGGUGAUAUGAACCGUUAUAACCGGCGAUUUCCGAAUGGGGAAACCCAGUGUGUUUCGACACACUAUCAUUAACUGAAUCCAUAGGUUAAUGAGGCGAACCGGGGGAACUGAAACAUCUAAGUACCCCGAGGAAAAGAAAUCAACCGAGAUUCCCCCAGUAGCGGCGAGCGAACGGGGAGCAGCCCAGAGCCUGAAUCAGUGUGUGUGUUAGUGGAAGCGUCUGGAAAGGCGCGCGAUACAGGGUGACAGCCCCGUACACAAAAAUGCACAUGCUGUGAGCUCGAUGAGUAGGGCGGGACACGUGGUAUCCUGUCUGAAUAUGGGGGGACCAUCCUCCAAGGCUAAAUACUCCUGACUGACCGAUAGUGAACCAGUACCGUGAGGGAAAGGCGAAAAGAACCCCGGCGAGGGGAGUGAAAAAGAACCUGAAACCGUGUACGUACAAGCAGUGGGAGCACGCUUAGGCGUGUGACUGCGUACCUUUUGUAUAAUGGGUCAGCGACUUAUAUUCUGUAGCAAGGUUAACCGAAUAGGGGAGCCGAAGGGAAACCGAGUCUUAACUGGGCGUUAAGUUGCAGGGUAUAGACCCGAAACCCGGUGAUCUAGCCAUGGGCAGGUUGAAGGUUGGGUAACACUAACUGGAGGACCGAACCGACUAAUGUUGAAAAAUUAGCGGAUGACUUGUGGCUGGGGGUGAAAGGCCAAUCAAACCGGGAGAUAGCUGGUUCUCCCCGAAAGCUAUUUAGGUAGCGCCUCGUGAAUUCAUCUCCGGGGGUAGAGCACUGUUUCGGCAAGGGGGUCAUCCCGACUUACCAACCCGAUGCAAACUGCGAAUACCGGAGAAUGUUAUCACGGGAGACACACGGCGGGUGCUAACGUCCGUCGUGAAGAGGGAAACAACCCAGACCGCCAGCUAAGGUCCCAAAGUCAUGGUUAAGUGGGAAACGAUGUGGGAAGGCCCAGACAGCCAGGAUGUUGGCUUAGAAGCAGCCAUCAUUUAAAGAAAGCGUAAUAGCUCACUGGUCGAGUCGGCCUGCGCGGAAGAUGUAACGGGGCUAAACCAUGCACCGAAGCUGCGGCAGCGACACUAUGUGUUGUUGGGUAGGGGAGCGUUCUGUAAGCCUGUGAAGGUGUGCUGUGAGGCAUGCUGGAGGUAUCAGAAGUGCGAAUGCUGACAUAAGUAACGAUAAAGCGGGUGAAAAGCCCGCUCGCCGGAAGACCAAGGGUUCCUGUCCAACGUUAAUCGGGGCAGGGUGAGUCGACCCCUAAGGCGAGGCCGAAAGGCGUAGUCGAUGGGAAACAGGUUAAUAUUCCUGUACUUGGUGUUACUGCGAAGGGGGGACGGAGAAGGCUAUGUUGGCCGGGCGACGGUUGUCCCGGUUUAAGCGUGUAGGCUGGUUUUCCAGGCAAAUCCGGAAAAUCAAGGCUGAGGCGUGAUGACGAGGCACUACGGUGCUGAAGCAACAAAUGCCCUGCUUCCAGGAAAAGCCUCUAAGCAUCAGGUAACAUCAAAUCGUACCCCAAACCGACACAGGUGGUCAGGUAGAGAAUACCAAGGCGCUUGAGAGAACUCGGGUGAAGGAACUAGGCAAAAUGGUGCCGUAACUUCGGGAGAAGGCACGCUGAUAUGUAGGUGAGGUCCCUCGCGGAUGGAGCUGAAAUCAGUCGAAGAUACCAGCUGGCUGCAACUGUUUAUUAAAAACACAGCACUGUGCAAACACGAAAGUGGACGUAUACGGUGUGACGCCUGCCCGGUGCCGGAAGGUUAAUUGAUGGGGUUAGCGGUAACGCGAAGCUCUUGAUCGAAGCCCCGGUAAACGGCGGCCGUAACUAUAACGGUCCUAAGGUAGCGAAAUUCCUUGUCGGGUAAGUUCCGACCUGCACGAAUGGCGUAAUGAUGGCCAGGCUGUCUCCACCCGAGACUCAGUGAAAUUGAACUCGCUGUGAAGAUGCAGUGUACCCGCGGCAAGACGGAAAGACCCCGUGAACCUUUACUAUAGCUUGACACUGAACAUUGAGCCUUGAUGUGUAGGAUAGGUGGGAGGCUUUGAAGUGUGGACGCCAGUCUGCAUGGAGCCGACCUUGAAAUACCACCCUUUAAUGUUUGAUGUUCUAACGUUGACCCGUAAUCCGGGUUGCGGACAGUGUCUGGUGGGUAGUUUGACUGGGGCGGUCUCCUCCUAAAGAGUAACGGAGGAGCACGAAGGUUGGCUAAUCCUGGUCGGACAUCAGGAGGUUAGUGCAAUGGCAUAAGCCAGCUUGACUGCGAGCGUGACGGCGCGAGCAGGUGCGAAAGCAGGUCAUAGUGAUCCGGUGGUUCUGAAUGGAAGGGCCAUCGCUCAACGGAUAAAAGGUACUCCGGGGAUAACAGGCUGAUACCGCCCAAGAGUUCAUAUCGACGGCGGUGUUUGGCACCUCGAUGUCGGCUCAUCACAUCCUGGGGCUGAAGUAGGUCCCAAGGGUAUGGCUGUUCGCCAUUUAAAGUGGUACGCGAGCUGGGUUUAGAACGUCGUGAGACAGUUCGGUCCCUAUCUGCCGUGGGCGCUGGAGAACUGAGGGGGGCUGCUCCUAGUACGAGAGGACCGGAGUGGACGCAUCACUGGUGUUCGGGUUGUCAUGCCAAUGGCACUGCCCGGUAGCUAAAUGCGGAAGAGAUAAGUGCUGAAAGCAUCUAAGCACGAAACUUGCCCCGAGAUGAGUUCUCCCUGACUCCUUGAGAGUCCUGAAGGAACGUUGAAGACGACGACGUUGAUAGGCCGGGUGUGUAAGCGCAGCGAUGCGUUGAGCUAACCGGUACUAAUGAACCGUGAGGCUUAACCUU